CAGCCGCCAGGGCGCAGCUCCGCGAGCGGCGUGGGGAUCCCCCGGAGCCUUCGCUCUUUCGCACUUGGAGCGUGCAGCUAGGCCGAUCUUUGUUCUUUAAAGACAAAGCCCCUGAACUUGUCCUCGCUUUGUUCAGCGUUUGGCUUCACGAAUUUUUCUGAGGAUGGGAAAUAGAGCUAAAGUUGUUUCUGGACUUGGUUGGGAACCAGCUGUGAAUAAUGUGCUGAAAUUUCACAAAGGAGGCUAGAGGGAAAGGAACUGGAAGAGAAGGAGUAAUUCUGGAAAAAGUUUCUUCACUCUUUAUGAGGCAGAGAGGGUCUUACUCUGUCACCCAGGCUGGAGUGCAGUGGCAUGAUCGCGGGACUCGCUGCAGCUUCAACUUUCCAAACUCAGAUGAUCCUCCCACCUCAGCCUCCCAAGUAGCUGGGACCACAGUUAUUGGAUACGCCACUGUUUUCUCCAUUGACAUGAAAUGCAGAAUGAAAGGCACAAUUGAGUGGUUGUGAGCUGAAGUUGAGGUACCAGCAUUUUCUCUUUGUGAAACCUGUUCUGGCAGAGCCCUUCUGCAUGCCACUAAGAGCUGCAAACAAGUCAAACCUGUAAAGAGCUGGAAGCCCACACCCAGAAAACGCAUGGAUAAUGUCUCCAAAUUGUAGCUUGAGAUGUUGUGAGCACAUGAUUCUGAUAUAAUUAGUUCUCCACCCCACGCACAUUCUCUCCAAUACUGUCAAAGGGUGGCAAAGAAUAGUCUCAUAGUUUUUGGUUGUUUGUUUUACAGACUGAUGCUAUCUCCAUUUGAUGAAGAUCACACCUUAUAUUUGCCAAUCAUCUUGAACUGUGGAUAAUCAUCUUGCAAUCCUCAUGUUAUCUUUAAGAUUUCCAGAAGGUUGUGAUUUCAGCAUUCUAGGCUUAAUGAAGUUUUACUUAAAUUGUAUCAUUUUAUCCAUCUGUGCUUAACUAACUGAGACAGAGCCACUGAGUGUGGAGAAUGAGGGCUGAAGCUUUGGGGGAUGGAAUACAAUUUUCAAAUUGGUGAUGUCAUAUGAGACCAUUAUAGGCAGUUCACCUGGCAUCUAUUUACUAGGCUGCUUUUUAAACGAGGACACAUAGCUAUUGUUCAGUGGUGAUUAUACUGAUAAGGACAUGAAGAGGUUGUAAAAUCUUGCUGAACUAUCUGGAAUAGUUUUGAAUCAUUAAAAGUAAUUAUGAGAAAUUCAAUUUACAUUUUGAGGCCAUUUGACUGUAUUUCUUAAUGGAAAUACUUUGGGUUUAGCAGUUGUUUUAAGACACAAACAGGAGUGCAAUCUAGAUUCUUCUACUUUUCUCUGAAUGAUUUUAUCUAGUUACCUAACCUCUGUAAGCCUUAAUUUUUUUCAUAUGUAAAAUCAUAAUAAUAGUACUUACUGUUAUAGAGAUUAGUGACAAUAUCUGUUUAGAGCAUCAGUGCUAAGGCAUUUCCACUGAAUGUUAUUAGCAAAGAUCAAAAAGUUUAAAAAUACAUUUGUUGGUAAGAGUCUAGUGGAGAUAGGUACUCUCACACAUUGCUUAGGGGAGUAUAAAUUAGUGUAGCCAUUACCUAAGACAGUUGGUGACAUUUAUCAAAAAUUAAAGCCCACAUACUUUAUUUUUUAAUUUAAUUAAUUAAUUUAAUUAUGAAACAGGGUCUCACUCUGUUGCCCAGGGUGCAGUGCAGAGGCAUGGCCCAUUGGAACCUUGACCUCCCAGGCUCAAGUGAUCCUCCCAUCUCGACCUCCCCAGUAGCUGGGACUACAGGCAUGUGCCACCAUGCCUGGCUAAUUUUUGUAUUUUAUAUAGAGACAGGGUUUUGCCCUGUUGCCCAGGCUGAUCUUGAACUCCUGGUUUCAAGAGAUCUGCCCACCUCAGCCUCCCAAAGUGUUGGGAUUAUAGUCUUGAGCCUCUGUGCUUGGCUCACAUACAUACUUUACAACCAGCAAUUCCUCUUGCUAGAAUUUCUCAAACAGAUGAGUGAAUUGAUACCUAUAUGUGGAUAUUUAUUGUAAUACUGUUACGGUAGGGAAGGUAUGGAAACAACCUCAAUCUCCAUCCAUAAGGGUUGUUUUGAUGGACUUAUGCAAUCAACUACAGGUUGAGAAUCCCUUAUCCAAAAUUCUUGGGAACAGACAUGUUUCAGAUUUGAAUAUUUUUGAAUUUUGGAAUAUUUGCAUAUACAUGAUGAGAUAUCUUGGGACUCAAGUCUAAACACAAAAUUCAUUUAUAUUUCAUGUAUGCUUUAUACAGAUAGCCUGAAGGUAAUUUUAUACACUAUUUUUAACAGUUCUGUGCAUGAAACAAAGUUUUGACUGUGUUUUGACUGCAAUCUGUCACAUGAGGCCAGGCAUGGAAUUUUCCACUUGUGGCAUGUGAGCCCUCAAAAAGUUUUGAAUUUAGGAGCAUUUCAGAUUUCAGAUUUUUGGCUUAGAGAUACUCAAUGCUAUGGUUUGGAAGUUUGUUCCACUAAACCCCAUGUUGACAUUUGAUUCCCAAUGUUAGAGGUGGGGCCUAAUGUAAAGUGUUUGGGCCUUGCAGUGGAUCCCUCAUGAAUGGAUUAAUCCCCCCAACCUCCCAGGGGGAGGAGUGAAUCAAUUUUCACUCUCUUGGUUCCCACAAGAGCUAGUUGUUAAAAAGGGCCUGGCACCUCCUCUUUCUCUCUUGAUCUCUGCACACGUCGGCUCCCCUUCCCAUUCUUCUAUGAGUGGAAGCAGCCUGUGGCCCUUACCAGAUGCAGAUUCACAAUCAUGAACUUUUUCAGACAUCAGAAUCAUGAGCCAAAUAAACCUUUUGUGUGUGUGUGUUAUAAAUUACCCAGCCUCUAGGUACGGUGGCUCAUGCCUACAAUGCUAGCAUUUUGAGGGGCUGAGGCAGGUGGAUCCUUGAGCCCAGGAGUUCAAGAUGAGCCUGGGCAACAAAGUGAGACCCUGUCUCCACAAAAAAUAAAAAGUAAAAAAAUUAGCUACUACCAUGAUACAUGCCCAUGGUCCCAGCUACAAGGGAGCCUGAGACAGAAGGAUUGCUUGAUCCUGGAAGGUAGAGGCUGCAUUGAUCCGUGAUCAUGCCACUGCACUCCAGCUUGAGUGACCUUGUCUCAAAAGAAAAAAAAUUAAAUUAAAUAAAUUACUCAGCUUCAGGUUUUUCUUUAUAUCAACACUAAAUAGACUAUGACACUCAACCUGAACCACGUCAGAAAAAGGAAUGAGGAAAUAUUUAUGUUAUGACAUGAGAUAUUGUCAAGACAUAGUGUUAACUGGAAGAAGCAAAGUAUAAAACAGUGCAAAAAUGAGAGGCAAGUAGGUGAUACAUAUACAUAUACAUAUUUGCUGUAUAAUCACAGAAAAUGGUAGCACUAAACUUCUUGAAUUUUGGUAGUUGGGUGGACAAAAAAAAUUUCACUGUGUAUUCCUUUUCAACUUUUGAUUGUACUUGUGAAUGUGUAACUUUUUAAAAAAUAAAAUGGUCUGGGCACAGUGGUUCAUGCUAUUUUGAGAGGCUGAGGCAGGAGGAUCACUUGAGUUCAGGAGUUCAAGAUCAGCCUGAGCAACCCCCAAGGUGAGACCCCCCAAUCUCUGAAAAAAAUUUAAAUAUUAUCCAGGCAUUGGGGAACAUUCCUGUAGCCCCAGCUAUGUGGGAGACUGAGUCAGGAGGAUUACUUGAGCCUGGGAGUUCUAGGCUAUACUUCAGCCUGGGUGACAAAGUGAGACCCUGUCUCUAAAAAAUAAGUAUAUAAAUAAAAUAAAUUAAACCUCUAUAAAAUAUAUGGAACACUCAUGACACAGAGUAAGCAUGCAAUAAAUGAUAACACUUAUUUAAAAUGUUCACUUAAUGAUAACAAUUAUCUUCCACUAAAAUAAAGAUAUCCAGAGACUUAAAAAAAAAUUAGCUGUUUAAAAAUUUAAAUACUAGGUCAGAUGCAGUGGCUCACACCUGCAAUCCUUGCACUUUGGGAGGCUGAAAGAGGAUCAUGUGAGCCUCGGAGUUUGAGACUACAGUGAGUUAUGAUCCUACCAUUGCAUUCCAGCCUCAGUGACAGAGAACCUGUCUCCAAAAAAAUUAUGAUACAUAAGUAAUUUUAAACAAUUUGUCUUAGUUUAUGUUAUGAGGGCAUUUUUUGGGGGGGCCCAUAAAGUCCUACAAUCAGGUCCUUUAUCAUUUACAUCUCUAAUAAAGGUAUUAAAAUAUCCAGUAAUUUAAAAAAAUUGACAUAUGCAACGAUUAUGACUGGAAGAAAAAGUUUUCAUAUAUAAAUGAAAAUUUAUCAUGAUUUAGUCUUUGAGCCAUUGAAGGUUUGAUAGAUAAUAGGUGUCAUUUAAACUUCUCUUGAACUUUGAGCAAAUCUGAAUAAACUGAGAAAAAACCAGAGAAUUUAUUUCCAUUUGUGUUUUCUUUCUUUUUUUUUCUUUUUGAGAUGGAGUUUUGCUCUGUUGCCCAGGCUGGAGGGCAGUGGCACAAUCUUGGCUCACUGCAACCUCUCCCGCCCAGGUUCAAGCAGUUUUCCUGCCUCAGGCUCCUGAGUAGCUGUGACUACAGGCACGCACUGCCAUUCCAGGCUAAUUUUUGUAUUUUUAGUAGAGACGGGGUUUCACCAUGUUGGCUAGGCUGGUCUUGAACUCUUGACCUCAAGUGAUUCACCCACCUCUGCCUCCCAAUGUGCAGUAUUACAGGCGUCAGCCACCGUGCCCUCUCUCCCUCCCUUCCUCCCUCCCUUCCUUCCUUUCUUCCAUUCCUACCUCCCUCCAUCCUUCUUUCCUUCUGUUCUUUCUUUCUUUUUCUUUCCCUCCCUCCCUUCCUUCCUUCUGACAAGUCUCACUAUGUUGCCCAGGCUGGAGUGAGUGGCUACUCACAAGUGCUUUCAUAGUGCACUGCAGCCUUGAACUCCUGGCCUCAAGUGAUCCCGCCUCAGCCUCCUGAAUAGCUGGAACUACAGGUAUAUACCACCAUGCCUGACUUCUUUUUCCAUUUGACUUAUAUGUAUUUAGACCAUCAAGCUGUUCUAGCUUUUUUUCAAUCAGCUAUGCAUAUAGGUUUCUCACUUUUAUCAGAUAUUCCCUUAUUAACAUUCUAUUUUGUUCUCCCGUACACUUUGGUAGUAACAGCUUCACUUCUUUUAUCAGUUUUUAAUUUCGUAGACAUAAACAGUGAUACAGUUUGUGUGCAUCACCACCCAGAUCUUAUCCUGAGUUUUCAUAAUCUCCAUGUGUCGUGGGAAGGACCAAGUGGAGAGAAUUGAAUCAUGGAGGUGGUUUUGCCCAUCUUGUUCUCGUGAUAGUGAGUUAGUUCUCACAGGAUCUGAUGGUUUUAUAAGGGGCUACCCCCUUAGCUGGGCACUAAUAUUUCUUCUUGCUGCUGCCAUGUGAAGAAGGAUGUGUUUGCUUCCCCUUCUGCCAGAAUCGUAAGUUUCCUGAGGCCUCCCCAACCAUGCUGAACUGUGAGUCAAUUAAACCUCUUUCCUUUUUUUUUUUUUCUGGAGACAGAGUCUCACUUUGUUGCCCAGGCUGGGGUUCACUGUCAUAGUCAUAGGUCACUACAGCCUUGAACUCCUGGGCUCAAGAUAUUCUCCCACCUCAACCCCCCGAGUAGCUGGGACUAUAGGCAUGCAUCACUACACCUGGCUAAUUUUGCAUGUUUAGUAGAGAUGGGGUUUUACCAUGCUGGCCAGGCUGGUCUUGAACUCCUGGUAUCAAGUGAUCCAUCCACCUUGGCCCCCUAAAGUGCUGAUAUUAUAGGUGUGAGCCUGGCCAAACCUCUUUCCUUUAUAAAUUACCCAGUCUCAGGAAUGUUUUUAUUAGCAGCGUGAGAAUGGACUAAUAUAAACAGUUUUUAGGCCAUGUUACAUAUAUGAUGUUAGCAUGUGUCCCUCUAGACUCUAAUUUGGUAGCUUAGUAUUUUCCAACAUUUAAGAACAUUUAGAUCAAAUAGCACACCUCCUAUUAAAUUGUUAGAAACCUCCAAAGUUGGAUCACCAAUUUUUCUCCCAUGAUUCUACUCUUUUUUGAGAUGGAUUCUUGCUCUGUCCCCCAGGCUGGAGUGCAGUGGUGUGAUCUCAGCUCACUGCAACUUUUGUCUCCUGGGUUCAAGCAGUUCUUCUGCCUCAGCCUCCCGAGUAGGUGGGACUACAGGCAUGUGCCACCACACCUGGCUAAUUUUCAUAUUUUUUGUAGAGAUGGGGUUUCACCAUAUUGGCCAGGUUGGCCUCAAACUCCUGACCUCAUGAUCUGCCCACCUCAGCCUCCCAAAGUGCUGGAAUUACAGGUGUGAGCCAUUGCACCUGGCCAGUUCUUAAUACUACCUCCAUUUAUAACACUCUUUUUCAGUAAACAGUGAACUACUCCAAAGCAACAAAACUGUUUUUCACUGUUAAAACUAUGUGCGCAGCCCAACAUGUAUUAGGUACUCAAUAAUAUUUGCUGAAUAAAGACAGAUUUUUCGCAGAAGAUAUGUUACAUCCUAAUGAAAUUACUUCAGCAAAUAUUGUUACUAUAUUUUAAUAUUUGGAUAUUUUAAUUUAAUAUAAAAGUAAAUCAAAUGAAGAGUGUAGAAAGUCUUUAUCCAGCAUAUCUCAAGAAUUAGACUAUAGAGGAAUUCUGUUUUCCAAAAUCAAAUUUGAAAUUAAUUUCAUAAUACACAAUUAUGAUCUAAAUUGCCCAUUUUAAGCUUAAAUGGUGUGUGUGUGUGUGUGUGUGUGUGUGUGUGUGAGAGAGAGAGAGAGAGAGAGCUGAACAUGUAGUCUCCUUCCAACAAUAUGGUCCCAUGAUCACUUUUAAGGAAAUGUUCAAGAAAUAAUUGACCCUGUUGGCUAAUUUUUUUCAGGAGCAACAACUCUUAUCACUAAUGAGCAAAACAAAAUUGUCAUUUUUGACAGAUGUCCCCAAACAUUUAGACAGACUGUUAGAUUAAUGCUUUUAAGGACCUAAGAGGGCAUAUUUUACAGUCUGCUGUAGAAAUAAGAGUAGCUGUGACAAUUUGGCUAUGGGGUAACUUUUUUCCUCCUUUGUGAAAUAGGAGCAUAAUACCAGCCUCACAAGUAUGUUUUUGCUUUUUAUAUACAUGAAAUGUUUAUUUUAGCUUUAUUUGUACUAUCAAAAACUUAAACCAAACUAAAGGUCCGCCUGGAAAGAAACAGUUGAAUAACAUUGGUACAUUCCUGCAAUGAAACUAUCCCAUCUAUUAAAAACAAAUGAUCAUAUCUGUGUCAGUUGAACUGGAUGUCUGUCCAUUGUAUAGUAAUUGAGAAAAACAUAUCACAGGAUAAAUAAUUGCACUUUUGUAAAAAAAAAAAACAACAAGCCGUAAUUCCCAAUUUUUGUUAACAUACCAUUUUGUUUAUGCUUAAAAGGAGGGGAGGAAUAACUUUCUCUGCAUACCUCUUUGACAGCACCACUUGAGCAUGUAUGAUGUAUUUUCCCACCUCACAGUUUUAGUAGCCAAGGUCUACUUUUUUAAAUUGACAAAGAAAACUUUUAUAUAUUUGUGGUGUACAAUAUGGUGUUUUGAUACACAUAUACAUUGUGAAAUGGUGGUCAACUUUUUUUUUUAUGAUGGUUUGCACAGAUUUCCGGAGCCCCAACAGAGUUCCACAAUUUAAACACAUCCGUUGCUGCAAUUUGAGAAAUGUCAAAACCCUCAAUGAAAUCCUCCUUCUAAGUGAGAUAUUCCUUUCAGUGGGCAACAAUACAAACUCAUUUUUUUUUUUGGCUGCUCACUAGUAUCCAGGGCACAUAAAUGACUCUUUAGUUGACAGCAUAGAAAUCUUGAAUUUCUUAUUGUCACUAGUCAUCUCAAUUAUUACAUAAGAUACAGGCUUAUGCCUGUAAUCCCAGUACUUUCGGAGGCCGAGGCAAGCGGAUCACUUGAAGUCAGGAGUUUGAGACCAGCCUGGCCAAUAUGGUGAAACUCCAUUUCUACUAAAAAUACAAAAAUUAGCCAGAUGUGGCGGCAUGCACCUGUAAUCCCACCUACUCAGGAGGCUGAGGUGGGAGAAUUGCUUGAACCCAGGAGACGGAGAUUUCAGUGAGCCAAGAUUGUGCCAUUGCACUCCAGUCUGGGUAACAGAGCAAGACUCCAUCUCAAAAAAAAAAAAAGGCUCAACUGAACAGGUAAAAGUCAGGGGGAAUUGCAUGAGGAACCUGAUAACCAUUAAGCCCUGUGGUUUCACUAAACUUAUUCAGCCUUCAAAUUUGAAUUCUAGAAAUCUAUACAACUAGACAACUACAAAUACAACUAGACAAAUAGUCUAGUCUAUACAACUAGACAAAUACAAAUACAACUAUUUGGCCACCUAUAAAAAUAAUAUAUUCAUUUGUUUGUUGCUGAUGGUUAGUACAAGAAAAUACCUUGGGGAGGAGUAAUUCUGUGAUUUGAUAUUAUCAAGAAUGCUGCCCAUUAUAUUAUUUAAUGUUUCUCUUAUAAUGUAGAGAAACCGUAGAGAUGAAAAACCAUUAAGACCAUUUUGUUUAUGUGUGAAAUUUCCUGAACAGAAGGGAGAAAAAUUUGAGAGACAUUAUACAAGAAGAAUUGACAGACUGUGACAGUGAACGUUCCUGAGGUCUACUGUAUGCAGAAGUAGAUUGAGAUCUUAAGGCUUUCCAGAUCAAGUUACCGUUAAUGAAAAUAGAGAAGGAAACAGGAGAAGGGAUAAAAUGGGCUAGGUUAUACAACUGCUUCACAUUCUGAAAAUUCAGUCUGAAGGAGCUGGACAAAAAUACAAACCAAAGACUUCCGAUUUCAACAUUGAAAACCAGUUGAUGUGGUUGGGCUCUGUGUCCCAACCCAAAUCUCAUCUUGAGUUGUAAUCCCCAGGAUCCCCAUGUGUCUAGGGAUCAUAGAGGUGGUUUCCCCCAUGCUGUUCUUGUGAUAGUGAGUUCUCAUGAGAUCUGAUAGUUUUAUAAGGGGCUGUUUCCCCUUUGCUCUUCACUCUUCUAUCUUGUGCAGCCAUGUGAGAAGGUCCAAGCGUGCUUCCCUUUCACCUUCCGCCAUGAUUGUUAGUUUCCGGAGGCCUCCUGAGCCAUGUGGAACUGUGAGUCAAUCAAACUUCCUUCCUUUAUAAAUACCAGUCUCGGAUAUUCCUUGAUAGCAGUGUGAAAAUGAACUAAUAGACUAGUGGUCCAGACCCACCUGAAGUAGCAGUACUAUCUAAAAAACUGGCUUCUCAUGGAGAAAUAACAUUCUUGUUGCCCAUUUUCACUUUAUAAGUAUAUGCAGCUCCUCCUGCUUUGAAGAGGCUCUUCACCUACUCCCUCAUUUCCUGUCUUACUUGCCACAUACACUCCUGUGACUGAUCUUACUCAUAUUUCUGAUCUUAGAAAAGGCUGCUGUGUUCAGUGGCCCUGCAGUGUUUGUCUUUUUCCUAUUAAAAUGAAUAGGACUGUGCUGAAUCCUAUGCUGAAUGUGACUUUUUCCUAUUAAAACACUAAUUAUAUUGCAUUGUAGAGUUUUAUUCAAUUGUUUUUCUCCCCCAUAAGACUGUAUAAUUUGUGUAAUUAAAAAUAAGGCACCAGGUGUGGUGGCUCAGGCUUGCAACACUCUUGGAGGCCACGGUGGGCAGACUGCUUGAGCCUAGGAGUUCAAGACCAGCCUGGGAAACAUGGAGAAACCUCAUCUCUACUAAAAAUACAAAAGUUACCUGUGCAUGGUGGCAUGUGCCUGUAGUAUCAGGUACUCAGGUGGCUGAAGUGGGAGGAUCACUAGGCCCAGAAGGUCAAGGCUACAAUGAACUGUGAUUGCACCACUGCACUCCAGCUUGGGUGAUAGCACAAGACCCUGUCUCAAAAAAAAAAAAAAAAAAGGAUCAAGAUUAUGUUUUUUCAUCAUUGUAUCAUCAGCACUCAGAAUAGAAACUGGCAUAUAAU